ACGGCCAUACCAUGCUGAAAACACCGAAGUCAUCGAUGCUGAUCACAGAAGUUAAGCAUCAUCGGGCGCGGUCUGUACUUGGGAGGGUGACCACCUGGGAACACCACGUGUCG